AUUAAAAGAUGAUAUCACAAAAUUACUUUCCACGAAGUUGACGAAUUUCAUGGCAUCUUCGAAUGUUGACAUGUAACCAAAAGAUACUCUGACUGCUCCAGUUGGUUUUCCAUGUAAAAUGUCACGAUCAUCCCAGCACACAUGCCCAGCCUCAAUAUUUGAAAGAAGAUCCAAGUGUGACAAACCAAGAUAUUUAGCACAAGCACCAGGAUUGCAAAAACAUCCUGUCCGCAGUUGAAUUCCUGCCAAGGUUGCCAAUUUUUCCACCUCACGGUAUCCAUACCAUGUUCCAUCUGGUCUUUUCAUGUUGAAUGAAACUGUGGGGCCCAUCUCACUAGAUAAUAACCCGUACAGCGUGCAAACAAAUUCUCCAUUUUCAUGCUUCAGUGCCAAAAGCUUAUUCCUCACAUA
rnacentral:misc_RNA from 1 species